AACGUAGGUACCGAGCGUUAUCCGGAUUUACUGGGCGUAAAGCGCGUUCAGGCGGUUUGGCAAGUCGGGCAUGAAAUCUCUCGGCUCAACCGGGAGAGGUUGUCCGAUACUGCUGGACUUGAGGGCAGUAGAGGGUGGUGGAAUUCCACGUGUAGCAGUGAAAUGCGUAGAGAUGUGGAGGAACACCGAUGGCGAAGGCAGCCUCCUGGGCCAGCACUGACGCUCAUGCACGAAAGCGUGGGGAGCAAACAGG
rnacentral:rRNA from 1 species